AGAGUAUAGUUCAGUGGCAGAGUACAUGCUUAGCAUGCACGAGGUUCUGGGUUCAACUCUCAGUACCUCCA
rnacentral:tRNA from 1 species